CAGCCGCCACGGUAAUACGUAGGGUGCAAGCGUUAAUCGGAAUUACUGGGCGUAAAGCGUGCGCAGGCGGUGUUGUAAGACUGAUGUGAAAUCCCCGGGCUCAACCUGGGAAUUGCAGUGGAUACUGGGUCACUAGAGUGUGGUAGAGGAUAGUGGAAUUUCCGGUGUAGCAGUGAAAUGCGUAGAGAUCGGAAGGAACAUCUGUGGCGAAGGCGACUAUCUGGGCCAACACUGACACUGAGGCACGAAAGCGUGGGGAGCAAACAGGAUUAGAUACCCGGGUAGUCCCUGUCUCUUAUAC
rnacentral:rRNA from 1 species